AACUAAUGCUGGUGGUAUGCUUAACACAUGCAAGUCGAACGAACUUUAGAGAGCUUGCUCUUUAAAGUUUAGUGGCAAACGGGUGAGUAAUGUAUAAGAAUCUACCUAGCAGUAAGGAAUAACUUUGGGAAACUAAAGCUAAUACCAUAUAUUACCGUUUAUUCGGGAAAGAUUUAUCGCUGUUAGAUGAGCUUAUAUCAGAUUAGCUUGUUGGUAGGGUAAUGGCCUACCAAGGCAAUGAUCUGCAGCUGGUCUGAGAGGAUGGCCAGCCACACUGGGACUGAGACACGGCCCAGACUCCUACGGGAGGCAGCAGUGGGGAAUAUUGGACAAUGGGCGCAAGCCUGAUCCAGCAAUACCACGUGAAUGAUGAAGGCCUUAGGGUUGUAAAAUUCUUUUAGUAGGGAAGAUAAUGACGGUACCUACAGAAAAAGCACCGGCUAACUUCGUG
rnacentral:rRNA from 1 species